UACGUAGGGAGCAAGCGUUGUCCGGAAUCAUUGGGCGUAAAGCGCGCGUAGGUGGCUUCAUAAGUCCGCUGUGAAAGUCAAAGGCUCAACCUUUGAAAGCCGGUGGAUACUGUGGGGCUAGAGUACGGAAGAGGCGAGUGGAAUUCCUGGUGUAGCGGUGGAAUGCGCAGAUAUCAGGAGGAACACCAAUAGCGAAGGCAGCUCGCUGGGACGUUACUGACACUGAGGCGCGAAAGCGUGGGGAGCGAACAGG
rnacentral:rRNA from 1 species